UGACCCUACCACACCCAAUCCCUCCUAUACGCUAACGCAAACAAAUAGCUAAAAGUGCUCGUCUUGAAGAAAAUCAAAAUGGGUCCAGUCGAUUGGCUCGAGGGCUGGAAACAGCAAGGUUGUUGCGCUAGUCAAACCAGGGAAUGGUUAAUAUGAUGAUGGAAAUGGUCCCGCAGGACUCAGUUGGUAGAGCGAGGAGCUUGCAACGUCAGGGUUGUAGGUGUCUGCUAAAUGACUAACAUGGAAAUGGUCCCAUAGGGCUCAGUUGGUAGAGCGAGGAGCUUGCAACGCCAGGGUUGUAGGUGUCUGCUAAAUGACUAACAUGGAAAUGGUCCCGCAGGACUCAGUUGGUAGAGCGAGGAGCUUGCAACGCCAGGGUUGUAGGUGUCUGCUAAAUGACUAACAUGGAAAUGGUCCCAUAGGGCUCAGUUGGUAGAGCGAGGAGCUUGCAACGCCAGGGUUGUAGGUGUCUGCUAAAUGACUAACAUGGAAAUGGUCCCGCAGGACUCAGUUGGUAGAGCGAGGAGCUUGCAACGCCAGGGUUGUAGGUGUCUGCUAAAUGACUAACAUGGAAAUGGUCCCGCAGGACUCAGUUGGUAGAGCGAGGAGCUUGCAACGUCAGGGUUGUAGGUGUCUGCUAAAUGACUAACAUGGAAAUGGUCCCAUAGGGCUCAGUUGGUAGAGCGAGGAGCUUGCAACGCCAGGGUUGUAGGUGUCUGCUAAAUGACUAACAUGGAAAUGGUCCCGCAGGACUCAGUUGGUAGAGCGAGGAGCUUGCAACGUCAGGGUUGUAGGUGUCUGCUAAAUGACUAACAUGGAAAUGGUCCCGCAGGACUCAGUUGGUAGAGCGAGGAGCUUGCAACGCCAGGGUUGUAGGUGUCUGCUAAAUGACUAACAUGGAAAUGGUCCCGUGGGGCUCAGUUGGUAGAGCGAGGAGCUUGCAACGCCAGGGUUGUAGGUGUCUGCUAAAUGACUAACAUGGAAAUGCUCCCGUAGGGCUCAGUUGGUAGAGCGAGGAGCUUGCAAUGCCAGGGUUGUAGGUGUCUGCUAAAUGAUUAACAUGGAAAUGGUCCCGUAGGGCUCAGUUGGUAGAGCGAGGAGCUUGCAACGUCAGGGUUGUGGGUGUCUGCUAAAUGACUAACAUGGAAAUGGUCCCGUAGGGCUCAGUUGGUAGAGCGAGGAGCUUGCAACGUCAGGGUUGUAGGUGUCUGCUAAAUGACUAACAUGGAAAUGGUCCCGUAGGGCUCAGUUGGUAGAGCGAGGAGCUUGCAACGCCAGGGUUGUAGGUGUCUGCUAAAUGAUUAACAUGGAAAUGGUCCCGUAGGGCUCAGUUGGUAGAGCGAGGAGCUUGCAACGUCAGGGUUGUGGGUGUCUGCUAAAUGACUAACAUGGAAAUGGUCCCGUAGGACUCAGUUGGUAGAGCGAGGAGCUUGCAACGCCAGGGUUGUAGGUGUCUGCUAAAUGACUAACAUGGAAAUGGUCCCGUAGGACUCAGUUGGUAGAGCGAGGAGCUUGCAACGCCAGGGUUGUAGGUGUCUGCUAAAUGACUAACAUGGAAAUGGUACCGUAGGGCUCAGUUGGUAGAGCGAGGAGCUUGCAACGCCAGGGUUGUAGGUGUCUGCUAAAUGACUAACAUGGAAAUGGUCCCGUAGGGCUCAGUUGGUAGAGCGAGGAGCUUGCAACGCCAGGGUUGUAGGUGUCUGCUAAAUGACUAACAUGGAAAUGGUUCCGUAGGGCUCAGUUGGUAGAGCG